GGGUUGUGAGGUUAAGCGACUAAGCGUACACGGUGGAUGCCCUGGCAGUCAGAGGCGAUGAAGGGCGUGCUAAUCUGCGAUAAGCGCCGGUAAGGUGAUAUGAACCGUUAUAACCGGCGAUACCCGAAUGGGGAAACCCAGUGUGAUUCGUCACACUAUCAUUAACUGAAUUCAUAGGUUAAUGAGGCGAACCGGGGGAACUGAAACAUCUAAGUACCCCGAGGAAAAGAAAUCAACCGAGAUUCCCCCAGUAGCGGCGAGCGAACGGGGAGGAGCCCAGAGCCUGAAUCAGCAUGUGUGUUAGUGGAAGCGUCUGGAAAGGCGCGCGAUACAGGGUGACAGCCCCGUACACAAAAGCGCAUGUGCUGUGAGCUCGAUGAGUAGGGCGGGACACGUGGUAUCCUGUCUGAAUAUGGGGGGACCAUCCUCCAAGGCUAAAUACUCCUGACUGACCGAUAGUGAACCA
rnacentral:rRNA from 1 species